GAUGAACGCCGGCGGUGUGCCUAAUACAUGCAAGUCGAACGCGUUGGCCCAAUUGAUUGACGGUGCUUGCACCUGAUUGAUUUUGGUCGUCAACGAGUGGCGGACGGGUGAGUAACACGUAGGUAACCUGCCCAGAAGCGGGGGACAACAUUUGGAAACAGAUGCUAAUACCGCAUAACAACGUUGUUCGCAUGAACAACGCUUAAAAGAUGGCUUCUCGCUAUCACUUCUGGAUGGACCUGCGGUGCAUUAGCUUGUUGGUGGGGUAAUGGCCUACCAAGGCGAUGAUGCAUAGCCUAGUUGAGAGACUGAUCGGCCACAAUGGGACUGAGACACGGCCCAUACUCCUACGGGAGGCAGCAGUAGGGAAUCUUCCACAAUGGGCGCAAGCCUGAUGGAGCAACACCGCGUGAGUGAAGAAGGGUUUCUGCUCGUAAAUCUCUGUUGUUAAAGAAGAACACGUAUGAGAUUAACUGUUCAUACGUUGACGGUAUUUAACCAGAAAGUCACGGCUAUCUACGUUGCCAGCAGCCGCGUUAAUACUUGUGUGGCAAUCGUUAUCCUGAUUUAUUGUGCGUAAAGAGUGUGCGGCGGGUUUCUAAGUCUGAUUGUAAAAACUUCGUCUUUGCCGUAUAUGGGAUUCUGAAACUGUAUUAUUGUGUUCAGAGAGUGUGUUGUAAUUUCCUGUGUGAUUGUGAAAUGCUUGAAUUUUUGAUGAUGUUUAUUGUUUAAUGCUGCUACUGUUUUGUUUGUGUUUGUUGUGACCCCUGCCUGUGCUGUUUGAUGAUUUUUUGUGUAUAGUGUGUGACGUGGAAUUAUUAUGUGUGGUGUGACUUGUGUGUUUCUUGUGGUGUGUG
rnacentral:rRNA from 1 species